GGGUGUUAGGAGGCCUGGCGGCCGUUGCAAGCAUUCGAAUUCGGUGAAAGCGCUGGGAUAUUUUGUGCAAAUGGAUAAAACCAGCACCGUGGGCAAAGCAAACACGACACCCGGCAGGCGAGCGGCGCACAAACAGCAGAAGCUUGCAUCGAAAGGGGGUCUUGAAGGAAAAAUAAGUUGCAGGCGGGGAACAAAAAACAGCCGACCAUCUGGUGUAAACACGCGCGGACGACCUGCAAAGGUGCCUCAGAAAACAAUAUAAAGAGACGCGCCAAUAUAUUUUUCUAAUUGGAGAAAUACUGCAAUUAGAAAGGACUCAUAAAGGUGAUGGCCUGUCCAUUAUGUAACCUUUUAUCUUUUAUUGCACCAACGGAGUUAAGAAAACUCGUCUAUACUAUAAAAUACUCCCAGCUUUCAUUACUGCAGUUUUCAUCUUUAGAUCACCAUAAUAGCAACAAUUCAUGGUCAUUUCAAACGAAAGACGAUAAGACCUUUUCACACCUGGAGCGUCAUAGUCAAGUUUAUGAAGCAGCGAAGCAUGACGCUUGACCCCCUCGCACACACACCCCGCCGCUAGAGGGCCCUGGAGGUGGCCGCCGCGUCCACAGUGAGGGAGUGCUAGCUUGCUGCUGCUUGCUGCUGCUUGCAUGUUGGCCGCCUCCUGUGUCCAUCUUUGUCGUCCGUGCUCGAAUACAUUGCUAAAAUGGACUCCUCGCUCGACACCUUAACGCUGCCCCGCUCUGCUCUGCGCCCAGGGCUCCUCCCCGGGGACGGCGAGGCCUUCCACCCUUCCUGCCCUCAAGGAUGCAAGCGACGUGCACUGAAAGCUCCACGGAUGAAGUGCAGAGAAGGCACGCUUUUAUCAAAGUAGUUGCGCAUCGGAUGAGGCCAUAUUUCUCCCAGUGCAGGCUGGGGGGAAGGUCACGACGUUGGUUCAGCCAUCCUCCUCUACCUGAUGCAUGGAACUGCGCCUGCAAACACGCCAUCAAGGAAGAGAUUUACAAAGGCACUUACACAAUAUUGUCCCGGACCUGUGAUUUACAAGGGAGAAGAUGACAUUCUGAUUCCUGUACAUUUUUGCCGAUUGAAUUUGUUUCUAGAUUCCUUACCACUAUUAUUGUUUUUAGUUUCGUUUUUGCAAGCAUGGACGCCAUGCACGAG